AUAAAAGGAACGGCGGCUAAAUGCUUAGGCGUCCUGCCUAAACACCGCCGUCAUCACAUCCUGUAAA
rfam:Bacillus subtilis subsp. subtilis str. 168 complete genome.